GCCCGGUUAGCUCAGUCGGUAGAGCAUCAGACUUUUAAUCUGAGGGUCGCGGGUUCGAGUCCCUCAUCGGGCG
rnacentral:tRNA from 3 species